ensembl:lncRNA
CCCCACUGUACCUCUUUGUUGUUCCACAAAGAUCUGUUUGUUUGAUCUUUCCAUCUCUUCAUUGUUUCAGUCUAAACUGAGAGACAGGGAUGAAGGCAGAGGAGGAACUGAAACCAAACCUUCAGAGGAAUUUCUGACCGUUAUAUCAGCUAGCACAGACCCCUGGUUUUGCCACUUCUCGGUGAUUCCACAGUGCGGUACCCGCUCUGGUAGUUGCAUGAUGGAUGUGGCCUGAGAGGCUUCCCUGAGGAGAAACGACAGCCCAGGAUGCUCAUGGCCUGGUGGAAGGGCCUUGAAAUCCAAGAACCUGCCCCCCGAGUCGGGAGGAUGAAAGAGAUUUCAACCAACAAGCAAACAGGCUCUUCUCCACACGUUUCAUGGGAUCGAACGCCUGCUCAUAGAGCUGGGUCUACCAGCAGAAGACAACUUAAAGCGUUUGUGAGAAAUGACUUCCUUUUUAAUGCUGGUCCUUUGUGGAAGCCAAUGGUGGAAGCAUCAGUCCAGAGGGCUCUCCUGGAAGCCAGUCCUCCAUCCUAGUCUCUGCUCUUGGCUGUACUGAAACCAUCCUUUUUCUAUGUUCUGUGUUUUCUAGAAGCUCCACAUACUUUACCACAAUGUUCCUUGUCAUGGCAGCACGGAAGAGAUGGAAAAAGGGAAGAGGGGAAUAUGCAAUAGCAGAUGUGAAAAUCAGGUGUUUCUAAGUCACUGAUACCUGUAAAGUUCAAGGAAUCUGACCAAGAAGCUGAAUGUUUCCGAGAGGUAUCCUGAACUGGUCUGACCACUCCUAGGCACUAAAAUCCUGACUGAAACAUUCAGCUGUGGUCCACCCAGGCCAGAUUGUUAUCAAUAACAAUGCCUUCAAAGGGUGUCAUUUGCCCUGGGACAUUGGAAGACAACAAAAGAAUUAAGCGAAACGGACAGAAGCCCAACACUCAAUGCCUUUGAACAUUUGAAUUGUACAACUAAUUUCUCUUGCUCUGAUUCUAGGCUUAUGAAACAAAGCGCUCACAAAUUGAUUUCCCUCAUGCUCACAUUUAGGGAGUAGAGACUAGACUGAGGUGUGGAGAGGGGAAAGCCACUGUCUGUUUGCAGGUACACUGUAUCUUUCAUUGUAAAUGAACCAGCUGGCCCGCUGGUUUGUUAACUCCAUCUCUUGUGACGCUGUCAGGCUGAGUCAGCCCCCGGGGCCCAGUCAACCCUGGACAGGGACAAGAAUGAGUUUGUGAGUGUGCAAGUUGGUGGACUGUGUCCUGGACAAUGGUGAAUUGGAAGGAGUGUCACUUGGGUGGUUAACCAGCUGUCCUUCCCCCAGGGGAUUCCCAGAGGUGACGAUAACCUCUGUUGAAAGCUUUUACAUCCAUAUCUCAGAUUUCAGAACGAGCAUUGUGUGUCCUCUCUGGUUCAUGUCAGCAAGAGCCUGUGACUCAGUCAGGUAUUUGGGUAAGAGGACAAUCAUGCAAACUCUCUGUAAAGAUAUAUUCAGAUGAAAAGGGAAAAAUUUCUGACUCAAAUUACACUGCAUGAUCGGCGUCAUUGUCUCAGGUACACACAACCGUAAUGGCUGAGUCUGAAUAUUGUUCCACUUAUAAAAUGAAAAGGAUAAUUAUUACCUAAGUUACUCAUUAUAUCAAAAUUAUUGUUAAUAAUCCCAGGGAGAAAAUUGCCACCUAAAAACAAGGUAAGAGAGCAUGAUUCCCUCAGAUUCAACAAACACUUUUUUGAGCACAUGCAAGACGUUCAGGUACUCCACCAGGUGCUUCUGUCUGUUAUUUCACUUAAUUCUAAAAACAACCCAGUGAAAUGGACAUCCUCUACAUUUCCCCAGUGAAGAAACUAAGGGUGUUUUCUUGAUUUGGGAUGGUUUAGUAACUUGAUUAAAGUCAGGGGGAGAAGAUGUCAGAACCAAAUUUUAAACCCACGUCCUCUGCCUUCAGAUCUGGAUCUCGCAAAUACAUACCGUGCUGUCUUUUGAUUUUCUUUUUCUCGGAGUUAGGAACAAAGUUUGAAAAUAAGAUGUCUGUUAACAAUGGGAAAUCCUCUAACUAGCAAUUAUUAAAUGCUGGCUAUUCUGUGACUUUUUUCCCCCUGUGUCUCCCUUAGGACAUUUAUGAAAUGUCAGAAUCAUUAGAGAGAGAAAAUUCCAUCAAGUCAAUUAAAGUAAGAUGGUAGAUGCUUUACUUUGAAAGAAAAGUAGAUACUCCUCAGCAGGUAAAGCUUCACUUGCUCUUGGCUGCAACUGUGAAUCAAAACUAAACUUUUGAUCCUAGACUUCCAAUUCUGCCCAGAAGUCCACUGCUGGCUAAUUGGAUUGAUUUAAUUUCCUUCAAUUAAGAUGUUUACUGAGCAACUACGACAUGAUAGACACUCCGUUAAUGAAAAGGCAUGGCAAACAAGUAAAUAGGCAGCUACAAUAUAGUGUAAGAAAUACCACUGAAUUCCAAUGCCGUUGAGGUGAAACCAGAGAAAUAACAGCCUGGCUUUGUGAAGAUUUACUGGCCAUUCCCGUUGUUGGCAAACCCUUGAGCCAGAAAAACCAUUCUAGUAGGUAAAACAGGUGUUUGUCUCCAGGUGUUAGCAUUAUUUUGUUUCUUUAUGAUUAUCGAUACUUUUUAGAUUUUCUAAAGUGAGCAUAUGUAUUGCUCUGACAAUCUGAAAAGAAAUGACGAAAUAACUGGAAAAAACAAAACAAAACUGAACACAAUUAUCCUUACCUUUGCCACACCAUCAUUACUGAAGUCUGACUUUGCCCUGGCCCUUAUCAUUGGGUCAAAUUGUGUCGCCCAAGCUCUGUGGGCGAAUGGAAGCAGGGCAGCUGCAACAACAGGUUACAACCAGCAGGUAAAGAUGAGAUGCCAGAACUCAACCUGUGAUCCUUUUUCCUUGUUUUCUUUUUCUUUUUUUUUUUUUUUUUUUGUGGAGGAUGGGUUUAGAGAACUGAUGCCUAAUUAUGAUUGGGUCUCCAGAAUGAUAGUGAUCUCAACCAUUAAAUUACAUUGAUUCUGUGCCCUAGUGAAGACUUGAGAGCUAAUUUCUUUUCAGCCAGAAUUCGUUGAUUCAGUGGCUAUGACUGUAGAUAGAUGUGAACUCUGCGUAUGAUCUUUUCUCCCUCCAGAGCAUGUCUUUUCCCCCAUUGGUCUAAUCAACUGCAUAACUGAAGGGGAAAAGAGGUCACACCCCACUUCCAUCCUCUUUUUCUUUUUGAAGAAGAUUAGCUAACAUCUGCUGCCAAUCCUCCUCCUUUUGCUGAAGAAGACUGGCCCUGAGCUAACAUCUGAGCCCAUCUUCCUCUACUUCAUAUGUGGGACGCCUGCCACAGCCUGGCUUCAUAAGUGGAAUGUAUGUCUGCACCUGGGACCUGAACCAGGGAACCCUGGGCCACCCAAGUGGAGCGCUCAAACUUAACCACUACACCAUUGGGUGGCCCCACUUCCAUCCUCUUGAUGAAGAGUAGAAGAUAAGACAAGGAGAAUUAGAAAGCAGUGUGAAGCCAAGUGGUGUUUGAUCUGCUAUCAAGCCACAAAGAGUUUCAAAACAGGCCACUUUGUCACCCCUCAGAGACUGAGGGAUCUUGGCAUUCCUGGAUGUGUCGAAAGACAAACGAUAAACAGGCAGUGCAGAGAGAGACUAAAUAAAUAUAUGCUUCAGCAGCAUAGAUUUUAGCUCUUAAGGGAAAGGACCUAUUUCAUGUGAUUCUAAUUUUCUGGAAAGCACCACCUAUGUACGUCUCAAGAAUGGUUCAAAUAGCCUGGAAUAAUUUGUUGAUCCUGCUUAUGUUAUCUAUUUUUGCAUUUCCCCAUGAGAAGCUGUAAAGGAUAUGUUUACACUGGUGUAGCUGCCUGCUUUGCCUGUGGCUAUUACCAUUGUAUACAUCCCUUUGACUCUGUGAAAACAAUUGAAAAGCAUUAUAGUGUAUUAUUGCUGAAAGGACAAUGCAAUGAUUGUUUCCAAAAGGCAUCUUGCCUUUUAGGAUGCAGAUGAUUUGUGAGAGCCUAGGCUGAAAGAGUCCUUAUUUUUCUGUUCACUGUCUCUGGCAAAAUGACGUGCUGAAAACAGAAUAAAUACAUUCUGAUAGUUCUAGUGUCUUCUAUAAAAACAGAAGCUUCGUUGAUUUUUUAAAUGAAAAACCAAAAUGUAUUUCACAGUCUAUUUGGUGGUGUUUCAUUAAUAUUUUCUGUUUAUUCAUUUUUAUAUACACACACAAACUUACGUGAACACCGCUUUGCCUGCACCCAUAGAAAACAGCUCAGGCCCAGAAAUAAAGUAUUUUUAAAGGAAGUUGAGCAAAUGUUUGUGUGUGUGCGCCACAAACUUAUCUGAAUAUUCCUCUUAAUUUGUCCUGAACUUUGACUGGUUCAAAGAUUAUAUUGGAAAGAUUAUAGUGAGUUUUCUUCUCUUGUUUGCUUUUCUUUUCUUUUUUGGCUCCACUGGAAGAACUUAUUGCAGGAAAAGACAAAGGGAAAGAGGGGCAGUAUGUUGACUGUUCUCGUGAAGCAAAAUGAGUUUCUGGAUGAUGAGGUGGACGCCUCGUCAAACACAUGUGAUCGAAAGAAAAGACUUGGGUUGGGGCACAAGAUAACACACUCACAUCCUAGAUUAAUUCUCUAAGCUUUGAUAUUUAAUAAAGGUGGGUUUAUUAUCGUACAAGCCUAAUUUCUUUUCUAUGAAAUGUAUCGAUUUCCUAAGAGGCACAAAACCAGAUAAUCUGAAGGCUACAUCAUGAACAAAUCCUAGCCACUUGGCCCACAGAGAGAAGGCACAGUGUGGAAGGCAGGAGUGACAGGAGAUUAUAAUAAUCAGCUAUCUGUUAGAAAGCAGGCUUGAUCCGCUGUCACAACCAUG